GACGAACCACACAAACGUUAUUCGGAAUUACUGGGCUUAAAGGGUGCGUAGGCUGCGCAGUAAGUUGGGUGUGAAAUACCUCGGCUCAACCGAGGAACUGCGCCCAAAACUACUGUGCUUGAGGAAGGUAGAGGUGAGCGGAACUUACGGUGGAGCGGUGAAAUGCGUUGAUAUCGUAAGGAACACCUGUGGCGAAAGCGGCUCACUGGGUCUUUUCUGACGCUGAUGCACGAAAGCUAGGGGAGCAAAC
rnacentral:rRNA from 1 species